ensembl:lncRNA
AGGCCCAUGGCCAAGCAGUGGCUGGACGUCUCCGAGGAGACUUCACAGCCUCUGGGCAGCCUGUGACAGUGCUUGGCCAUUUCUUUCUUCCUUGUUAAGUAAUACAGAGUAUGGCCAGGGCUGGAAAAUAAAGCAGGAGGCCUUUGGUUUAGCUUAGCUUAAAGAGGCCCUCCCAGAAGCCACUGUCAGUGAGCGAGUCCUGAAGUGAAGAGCGUUGGUGGGAAGAAGUAUUUCUCUUGUUAUGUCACAGUGAGUGAGUUCUCCUUUUGUGCUGACUGCUUCAAGAGGAGCUGAACGGAAUCCUGGAGCUUACAUCUGACUGAUGCAGAAGCACUCAGUGGGCACUGAAGAGAUGUGUACUGCUGUAUUUAGUGUGGCUGUGAGUAAAAUCAAAACAUGCUCAUCAAAACCCAUGGAGAAUCUUCAGUACAUGUUAAACAGCUCCUCACUGCUCUGUAAAACCAGGCUGCGUUCCCUGCAGUGCAAGAGGAAAACAAUGCCACUAUCAAUAAUCUACAGAAGCACUUCUACCAGAUACCUCUGUUUUCAGGAAAAAUUCCAUUUGUCUAGCACUUCUGGCUUGUGUAGCUAUGAGUUAAUAUAUCUUCUUUACCUUAAAAAAAAAAAAAAAAAAAAAAAAAAGAUCAAGGCCAAUCUCAGUUAUAAAUGUCUAAAUGUUUUAUCGUUUUGACAAGGUAGCUUCUUCCUCAUCCUUCCUUGAAAUACUAUCUAUAUAACUUUCCUAAUCUGUGUUUUUGCAUCUAUAUAUCUAUAGCUACCUAUGUACUUGAUUUAUCUCUGUAUUAGUAUAGCAGUAUUUGAUCUAUAGUGCCAAACACUGGGAUGUACUUUAUGGUAACAAUAAAAUACACAGACUUUG